AACUCAGACACAACACGGGCCGUGGGAAAUUUCCUAAACCUCGCGAGAACGCGCCCACUGCUGCCUAUGCUUUCGCCCCCAAAUCUCGCGGAGCCCAGGUGGGACAGGCCUAAGUUAAACUUUACAUCAGUGGCUAACAUGUGCAGCAGUUCAAGAAGGUGAAGUAAGAAAAAGAACGGCCCAUUUACUCCAGUGAUGUGGAACGUGAAUGGAAUCAAAUGCACAUUUGAUGGGCUAACACUACCUUGUUAGAGAUUCGUUGCACAGAUCAUACUAGAUAAUUAUGUAGAGGACUAAAUGGAAAGAAUUGUCUCUCACCAUCACAUCGCAGCCACUUGCUGCUUUCCAAAAGGACAAUGACUCGCCCGAUGAAGCAACCCACACUGUGUGAGAGACAGAAGCCCUCCUCUUCCCCCAGGUGGCUGAUACAGGAAGUCAAGACAAAGAAAUAAGAUUCAGCAGUUUAUUCAAGAACUCCCACUUACAACUCCUGAUACUGAAGAGAUCGUCCAUCAGACAGAUUCAUCAUCUGUUCCUGUAUAUUCUCCAAGUUCCAUCCCUUAAUUUGGUAAAGAAAUUAGAGGAAGUUUGCCUGGCCUGCAUCUUCCUCAUCCUCUUGCUCAAAUAUAUUCAUUAAAGUUAAAGGUGAGG